GUGAACGUAAUCAAACCCUGGUUCAAACUGCCUGGAAUUACAUGAAUGACAGUCUUCGAACCAAUGUGUUUGUUCGAUUUCAACCAGAGACUAUAGCAUGUGCUUGCAUCUACCUUGCAGCUAGAGCACUUCAGAUUCCGUUGCCAACUCGUCCCCAUUGGUUUCUUCUUUUUGGUACUACAGAAGAGGAAAUCCAGGAAAUCUGCAUAGAAACACUUAGGCUUUAUACCAGAAAAAAGCCAAACUAUGAAUUACUGGAAAAAGAAGUAGAAAAAAGAAAAGUAGCCUUACAAGAAGCCAAAUUAAAAGCAAAGGGAUUGAAUCCGGAUGGAACUCCAGCCCUUUCAACCCUGGGUGGAUUUUCUCCAGCUUCCAAGCCAUCAUCACCAAGAGAAGUAAAAGCUGAAGAGAAAUCACCAAUCUCCAUUAAUGUGAAGACAGUCAAAAAAGAACCUGAGGAUAGACAACAGGCUUCCAAAAGCCCUUACAAUGGGUGAGUAUACUUGGGCUGGAAAACUGGCUUGAGGAAUCUUU
rnacentral:sRNA from 1 species